rnacentral:rRNA from 1 species
UACGUAGGGUGCAAGCGUUGUCCGGAAUUAUUGGGCGUAAAGAGCUCGUAGGCGGUCUGUCACGUCGGCUGUGAAAACCCGGGGCUCAACCCCGGGCCUGCAGUCGAUACGGGCAGACUAGAGUGCGGUAGGGGAGACUGGAAUUCCUGGUGUAGCGGUGAAAUUCGUAGAUAUCGGGAGGAACACCGGUGGCGAAGGCGGCGAUCUGGGUAGAUACUGACGCUGAGGUGCGAAAGCGUGGGGAGCAAACAGG